GUCCUUUCUGCUGCAGACCUAUCAGGCGACAGGAACCGGAGCUGCAGGGCUUCCAAUGUGGCGCACAAGGCCAAUCCCUCCAGGAUGUCCAUUCUCAUAAUCUGCAUACUGAUCACAGGCUUGGGGAUAAUCUCUAUAAUUAGUCACUUGUCCGAAAGGCGGAGAAGCCAGAGGAAUAGAAGGGGUAAAGGCCCAGCUAGAAGCCAGAGAACCAGUCAAGCUCCUUCUGUGAUCCCCACACCUCUGUAGACGACUCUUUGAAGCCCUCCUCCUGGUGUCCUGGCUCCAAAGAUAAUGGCUCAUCCUGAACAGACAUGACUGAAGAUCUCUUGCAUUUAGUUUAUAAAUAAAGUGGUGCUGCCAUAGUCACCGUGACGACCAGCCCACACCUUGGGGAUGGAUUGUGAUCUCUCAGGUGUUCCGAAGGGCCCCCCCCCCCCCCCCCCCCCGCCCAGGUUGCCGGCGCUGGCUUGCAGCUAGGUAAGAACAGUAUUAGGCCACGGGAGCUGUGCCAGGCCAUGCCAGAGCAAGGCUGCCGCCGCAGUCGACAACAUCUCAAGAUCUUAGUUUCCACACCCUCGGCUAGCUGCCAGGUGAAGAGAGGGCAGCAUCUUGGUCAGAGGAUCAGGAGAUCCCUUGUGUUUUAUUGGUUCGCCCAUGAACUCCUCACUGGUGUUGAAUAAACUCUGAGGCAUGACUAACGUCUCCUGGGAUAUCACUGGAAAUGGAUUUCUGGGAAUGCUUAAACUAUGAUAUUGCAAUAUCUGCUUCUACAUUGGUAUUACACGCUGUCCUACCCCCAUGAGGCAAAAUCAGCAUUUCUCAGAUCUUCUUGGUGAAAAGGUGGUCCUCUGUGGGAAACCGCCACCAGACUGAACGGAUGCUGCUCUUGACUGGUGAGAAGCUGAGGCGUGGUGGGUGAAAUAUUCGGUCAAACCAGGAAACACAAAUCAAGACCGAGGCAUCGGCAGCCGUGGGUGCAAGUGAAGCUAUACCGUCAUUAACGGCAGAAUUACCUAAGCUCUCAGCAACCACCCGCACGUCUGCGCCUUCUCUCCCCAUAUAAAGUCUUUUCCUGCAAUUUCAGGGGGUUCCCAGGGGCUCCCCAUCACCGCCUCUGCUGCCCUCAUAAAAACCCCGCUCUUCUGGUAUCUUGCAGUAGGGUGCCGGCCAGUGUCAGCGCUCAGGGUAAUCAGCAGUCCUGAGGUCAGCGUGGGGCGGGGGCAGGGAGAAUGGCUCGUGCCACAAUUCUGCACGUGCCCCACACAUUUAAGUCCAGGCUUUCACGGUGUCUUCCACCCAAACCCCUCUGUCGGUGGGGAGCUCAACGCUACCCAGAAGCCUGAUGAGAAGGGGCAGGGGUGUGGGGACCAUCCGUUUCCCGCCAUCCUCCCUGUGUCCUUGUGGCCAGACCCCCAGAGUCUCAGAGCAAACAGCGUCAAAAGUGUUGCCUUUUCCCUCAUCUACAAAACAACUCCAGGCCCUCCUCCGUGGCCACGUUCAAGCACAAGCCUGCCGAUUCUACAAAUAGCAAUCCAGUGUGGGCCCCGUGGGGCCUCCUUACUGCACGAGGCAAGACAGCAGGCAUCAAUCUUCCGUGACAGAUGAAGACAUCUAUCACUAUUCUUGGAAGAUGUAUACUUAUGAAUCUGGAGAGCCAUUUCCCUGAGAAUCCUACAGGUUGGCUCUG